AACGAACGCUGGCGGCAUGCCUAACACAUGCAAGUCGAACGAGACCUUCGGGUCUAGUGGCGCACGGGUGCGUAACGCGUGGGAACCUGCCCUUAGGUUCGGAAUAACUCCCCGAAAGGGGUGCUAAUACCGGAUAAUGUCUUCGGACCAAAGAUUUAUCGCCUUUGGAUGGGCCCGCGUUGGAUUAGCUAGUUGGUAGGGUAAAAGCCUACCAAGGCGACGAUCCAUAGCUGGUCGGAGAGGAUGAUCAGCCACACUGGGACUGAGACACGGCCCAGACUCGUACGGGAGGCAGCAGUGGGGUAUAUUAGACAAUGGGCGAAAGUCUGAUCCAGCAAUGCCGCGUGAGUGAUGAAGGCCGUAGGGUUGUAAAGCUCUUUUACCCGGGAUGAUAAUGACAGUACCGGGAGAAUAAGCUCCGGCUAACUACGUG
rnacentral:rRNA from 1 species